GCACUCCGGAGAAGUCCACUCAAAUGGGUGCCGAAGGUGAAAGAUGCCCUCUCUGCCUUGUUUUUUACAGGGUCGGUCGGUAACGAAUCUCUCAGGCAAAAGGACGGAGUA
rnacentral:ncRNA from 1 species